rnacentral:tRNA from 1 species
GCGGGUAUCGUAUAUCGGUAUUACCUCAGGUUUCCAACCUGAUGAGAGGGGUUCGACUCCCCUUGCCCGCUCAA